UGAGAUGUGAAGCAGGAUCAUGUCUCACCCCUUGGCAGUGGAUGCUCACAAGGCUAUAAGCCCAGCAGGACAUGGAAAAGCCCCAUCUGCCCUCAGCUGCUCCAUUCUCCAUUGAUAAACACAGGAGAAACCCCAGAUUAGAGGGUUAUUGCAUUGUGCCACUGGGACCCCCCUGACCAUGACAUGUCCUAUGCGAGAACCCAUUUGGACUUCGAUGACCAUUCCACAUCCUGCUCAAGAUCCUGUUGGAUCCAGACCCUGUUGGAACCCCAUUGAUAGUGACCAUGCUAUGUUCCACUCAAACCCCAUUGAGACCCCACUGACCCCUGUCAUAUUAUACACUGGGGUCCCCCUGUCCACACCCUUGGGACCCCAUGGGCCACACCAUCUCCCACUGACCACGCUGUGUCUCAUUCAAGUCCCUACUGAUUGCUCCACAUCCCACAAAAGACCCCACUGGCACCUCACUGACCAUGUUAUAUCUUAUGUAAAGACUACACUGGGGUCCCACUGUCCAUGCCCUUGGGACCCCAUUGACUACACCGUGUCCCACUUAAGACCCUACUGACUGCUCCACAUCCCGCACAAGACCCCAUUGGGACCUCAUUGCCCCCCUGUGUCACUCCCAGAGUGGCUGAUAAACCCAGGACUGUUCUUCCCCCAUCCCCCCCAAAUGGAUUGAGCCGCGUUCCUGAGCUGCUCAUUACACAGUAAUGAGAAAGUUGAGCUGCUGCUCUGCUGCUUAUCGAGGUAACAUCCAUUAUGGAUGGCACUUGGUGCUAAACAGAGGGUGUGAAUGUUUGAAGGAACACGUGCUGUUCCUGUUGGAUCAAUACAGAGCCAAAUUCCCACCCCCGAGGAAGAAAUGCUUCCCCACUCCAGGGCUUUGCACAGCUUCCAAAACACGGCCAGAACGGGAUCAUUUCCAGCCCAGCUCUGCAAAAGCAAACUCUGCUGCUGCUCAUAGGGGUGCUGCUGCCUCCAUCCCUCAUCCACAGCCACAAAAAACUGCUGGAAAGCACUGAGAAAUGGAGAAAACUGAGGCAGAUGAACACCAGCGCUCUGCCUUUGGAUGCUGAGGAGCUACAGCGGAGGCAGGGAAAUUCUUCAGCACCAGCAUCAGUGAAGCAUAUAAGACCAGAUUAUUUGUGUUCCCGACUUGCUGAUGCAAGAUGAAAAAUACAGCAAACUGCAGCUGCUGAAAUCAGCUCUUUUUCCUCCCCUCUCCUUCCCCUUCCCCCUAGCUGAGGUUAGUGUUUUGCAAAAAGGUUUUUAUAUUCUGGGAGCUAAAACCUGUCCGUUGCAAUCAGACACAAAGCUCGGGGAGUUUGUCAGGCUCCGCCGCCGCGCUGGGAAAAGCUUCUUGGCACAAAAGAGCUGCACAAAUUGCAGCGAGUUGGGCUUGAUUGCACCCUGGGAGCUCAGCUUGGGGACUGGGAGGCCCAUGGGGAGGAAUUCAUAGCCCCAGGGCUGCCCCUUUGUAGAGCAUCCCUUGCACAGUGCUGUACAGAGAGGGCUCCAGGCUGAGAUAACAGCAGGGUAGUGCUAUGAA